AUAUAUAUAUGUAACAACUCAUGAGUAAUUCGCAGCACCUUUAUAAAGCUCCCCUUUAUCACGAUUCUCUUCAAUGCAAAUCUUCGCGAAGCUAACGGCAAUGGAUCGCGCAAUGUGGGGGGAUACAAGUGACAAGGUAAUGGCGACAUUCGUGUAAUUUAGCGUCUAUUACGCUUAAUACUGAACAAAGAUGAAUGGCAGCUCUUAUUUUGAAACGAAUUGAAAGUCACGUUAGAACACGAGAAUAAUUCCGUGGAAUGAAAUGGGAAGCGACCGUAAGGAGACAAAGUGACCGUGCACAGUCUCAAUCUAGAGGGCGUGUUAACGUUAGAAUUGCCAACCUAUGAUAUGUACCUAAGUAUAUUACACAUAUGAUUGUGAAAAUAACUAGAUAUAGGAUAUCUAGGAUAUUCCAU